rnacentral:snRNA from 1 species
CCCCAGGUCAGGCGGGAUUACCCGCUGAGU